GAUGAACGCUGGCGGCGUGCCUAAUACAUGCAAGUCGAGCGAACGGACGAGAAGCUUGCUUCUCUGAUGUUAGCGGCGGACGGGUGAGUAGCACGUGGAUAACCUACCUAUAAGACUGGGAUAACUUCGGGAAACCGUAGCUAAUACCGGAUAAUAUUUUGAACCGCAUGGUUCAAAAGUGAAAGACGGUCUUGCUGUCACUUAUAGAUGGAUCCGCGCUGCAUUAGCUAGUUGGUAAGGUAACGGCUUACCAAGGCAACGAUGCAUAGCCGACCUGAGAGGGUGAUCGGCCACACUGGAACUGAGACACGGUCCAGACGCCUACGGGAGGCAGCAGUAGGGAAUCUUCCGCAAUGGGCGAAAGCCUGACGGAGCAACGCCGCGUGAGUGAUGAAGGUCUUCGGAUCGUAAAACUCUGUUAUGAGGGAAGAACAUAUGUGUAAGUAACUGUGCACAUCUUGACGGUACCUAAUCAGAAAGCCACGGCUAACUACGUG
rnacentral:rRNA from 1 species